CGUGACUCAGCCAGACCAGUUUGUCAACUGCUAGGAAAGGGGAGGCCUGCUCAGGUAUGUGCAACACGCCACGUAUCAACAAGGGCAGUGGGGGCGCCUUGCAAGGCGAGACGGGGCAGAUGGGUGCAAACAGGCCUAGCAGAGAGCAGGGAACGCUUUUCAGGCUGAGGGCCACAUUCUCUUACGGGGGCCGCUUGCCAGUGGCGGCCUGGGUUAAGGAGCAAAAAUGUGUGGGGCAAUGAAUGUGAAUUUUAUGACUACUUUCUACACACGAGCACCUCUCUCUGUCUUCUAGUCAGGAGAGAGAGACUUAUUAUCAGAACUCGAAGUUACCAGGGGUGUGGCCUGGCUGCUGAGGGCCGCAUAAGAGAGGCCUGGGGGCCGCCUCAGCUCCCAGGCCUAAUGUUCUCCACCCCUGAACUAAAGUUAAUUAAUAGGAGAGAGUUUGAAACCCGUACCUAAAAAGAACCCCCAAAAAAGAGGUUUCACGUCUAACAGCGGCAUGCGACCAUUUCCAGAAAGGCCUCGUCAACCUCCCCACCCACCCAUUUUGCCUCCCUCCGUGGAGAUAUCUUAACCUACUGACCCUAAAAAACAGUGGGGUGUCGUGGUUAAGAGUGUGGGAUUUAAAGGUUACAACCAAAAUCCCUCCUUGGUCCCAAAACUUGACUUGAGGCCAUAUUAAUAGGAUGCCACUAUAAACAGUCAUGGCUUCCCCCAAAGGAUUCUGGGAGCUGUUGUUUUGUUAUGGGAAUCGCCCCGAUUGAGAGUUGCCCCGUCCGCCCCAUUACACUCACACAGAUACAGUUUCCUGGGGAGGAGUGGUUGUUAAGCCACUCUAGGAAUUCCAGCUCCUAACAUUUAACAAACUGCAGGAUUAUUUGGGGGAAGCCAUGACUUUUGAAAGUGGUACCGCAGUCCUUUAAAUGCAUUGUGUGGAUGCAACCUACAACUCCCACCAGCCCAGAGCUGAUGGGAGCUGCAGUCAAAAACUUAUAGAGCAGAAAGGGGACCUGUGGCUCUCUAAAUAAUGCUGGGCUGCAACCCCCGCCCCUCCACCAGCCAGCAUGCCUAAUGGUCAGGGAGGAUGGGAACUGUAGUUCAGCAAAAGCUGGAGGGCUACAGCUUCCUCACCCCUGAACUGGAGGACACUAGGUAUAAGGGAGGCUGGAGUAGAGAAAAGUGCUUUAAAACUGCUAACUGAUAAGUAUGAUUAUGAGUCGAGACAGAGCGCAGCAUACCUAUGGCAACAAAGCAAUGACUGAAGAUAAAAGGAAUGCGAAAAUGCAUUCUCUGCUGAGGGUGUGCUAGGCAAAGGGCUGGAAAGGGCUGGAAAUUCCUACGUGCCAAAAUCCAAGUUUUAAUAGCCAAUCCAGGACUGGGAUGGUGGAAGGGAAAGAAAACUCCUUAGGUGCAAAGCAAGCUGUUAUUUUUCAGACCAGCUUUACCCAGAAUGUGGUGUGUACCUCAAAGCAAAGUUCAGUCCAAGGUACGUUUACUUGGAAGUUCAGUCCUACUGGCUUCAGUGGGCCUUACUCACAGGUAAGCAUGGGAUGGAUUGCAGCCCUUGCCGGACAGUGAAAUAACAAAAAUGGGAGACAACAGGUUGCCUGUGUUUGUAUUACAAAGCACACCAGAUCUGAUGCCUUCUGCCUUUCCGCCCGAAUCCUUUUUCGAAAACAAGCCCCGCUGACACUUUGGUCCCAUAGAUCCCCCUUCAGGAUACUGAUCUGAAAGAGGAAGAUGUCUGACCCCUGACAUCAUAUGCAGAAACAGAAAAGCAUGGCUGGCAAAGAUCAUCGCUAAAGCAUUUGCGGAUUCUGACAAGAGCAACACACACAACUCUCUUAAGCCAGGGGUGGGGCAACCUGUGUCCCUUCAGAAGUUGCGGGGCUGCAACUCUCACCAGCCCCAGUCAGCAUGGCCGAUGGGUCAGGGAAAAUGGUAGCUGCAAUACAAGAACAGCUGGAGGGGGCACAGGUUCCUCACCUCUGCCCUGCGCUAAAGAUGCAGCACAAACGAUAGAAAAAAGAUGCUCCAAUUUCUUCUGGAAAUUGUCUAUCUGCAAAUUCCAGCCAGAAGGCAAAUCCACAAAGAUCCAAUUUCCAGCAUUACCGCAUCUCUCUUUCCACCCCUCUCACUUCUCUCUUUCCAAAGUUAUACAAAAAUGGUCCCUCUUCUCUCCCCACCCCCCACUUCCAAACUUCCAGUGCCCCUUCCCCACUUUCUAGCUGUUCAAAAACAUUCCACCGCCUGCUUUCUGCCGAAGCCAUUUCAGUGACCAUCUCCAACUUAUUGUUAAUGAAGAGAGACCGAUUCUUAACACCACGUUGCUGUUUCUAAGCCUCCAAGCAUCAGAUAAAUAUCCCAGAUUGUUGAAAAAAAACCCCACAGAUUUUCAUUGCACACAGAUCCUGUUAUAUACGUAUCACCUCUAUUGACGGGAAAGGUUUUCUUUUGUUUAGAAAAGGAGGAUUUUUUUAUUAUUUUGACCUCACCAAUAAUUCCACUUUUUAAAAAUAAAUAAAUAGAAAGCCUAUCCGCUUGUCAAACGUAACUAAAAGGGAACUUUGAAGGAAGCCACCAGAGAAUCAAAACUCUGUGAGAUACAGAUUUUGUUUUCCUUAUGAAAAGACUGUAUCUCUUCACCAAAUUCAUUCACAUCUCCCUGGAACAAAACACAGGAAGACAAGACAGACCUAGCUAAGUCAAGGGCUGGUUCUGAAAAGUGGUAUUUUACAGUAGCCUGACCAUUUGCACUGUCUUGGGACACAUACAAACACCUACAGUUGUAUACUGCAACCACCAAGAACCAGAAACCUAAUAGAAACAAAUUACCCUCUUAACAUAAAUUAAAACAAAAACUGGGUGCUUUCAUCAUUUUGGACCAGGUUUCAUAUUGGGCUCCCCCACCAAAAAAGACCAUUAUCAAGCUUUUAAAAAAGAAGGAAGUCCUCAGAAGUCAAAGGGGAGGGACAGGGAGGUUUUGUCUAGUUAAAAUAGGAUUCAGCAACCAGCAAAGUGAAGAGUGUGCUGCAACACUGGGCUGGUCAUAAUUAAGCAAGGAUGUACGAGGACUGGAACCAAAUGCUUUGACAAUAUUAUUGCACUGCUUAAUUUGUGAAGACAGUAGUGCAACACUGUCAGAGCCAGCGGUCCCAGCAGCCCACCAACGGCAUUGUAUCCAGCUAACCUUGGAUUUCACACACACACCUUUUUUAAAAAACAAAACAAGGAUUUGUUAAUACAAGAGAUAGUUGCAACACAUUAACUGGCAGGGCUGGCGAUCCCCAAUAAAAUCAAAAUCAGAAUGAUUUCAAGUUUUAUCUGAGAUCAUCAUUAGUCAAGGUUAGAGCAAGGACACAAACACACAGAAAAGCAGAUUAAUUGUGUAUCUUUUCUUUCGUAAGAACUACAGGAAAACAGGACUCAGCUGUAACAUAGGCAAUGUAGGUGCAUAUACCAUUAAUUUUCUCUAUUGCAAAGGGCUGGGUGGGUGGAAAGCUACUUCAAAUUCCUAGGUUAUCAGCUUUGUUUGGGGGUGCAUAUUUUUAUUUUAAAUCAUGUCUAUUACUGCAAUCCUAUGCACAAAUCUGAAAGGAUGUAAUUUUGAGCUUUUGGGGACUUGUUUCCAAGUAAACAUAACACAGGAUUGCAGUGAAAGUUAUGGAAUGAGACCAGGAGGAAGGGUUAUGGUUAUCCUCUCUUUAACUUUAUACAGGAUGCUGCAAUAUAUGCACAUUUCAGUUCAAUAGCAAAGGCAGGCUCCGGACUGAAGAAGUCAAACAUUAUUGCAAAUAAAUAGUGUAGACAUUCACAACUGAUUUGUUUUCACCAGCCUUUCCCCCAACAUUUUCUAAAAUGACCCAAUUACACUGAGGUCCCCCUCUACCUCUUCCCCCAAUUCAGCAUCACAGACAUUUGAAAACGAAAAAAACGAAAAAAAGAGCACUUUGAAUGUGUUGUGAACAAUGUUGCGGAAUCCACAGCAUUUUCCCAGAGAGACCUGUCUAUACGCCUACAGGAUGUGGAAUAAUAAAACAAUUGGUUUGCGUGUGGUAUUGUAAAGAAUGUUCCACCCUAUAAAAACCCAGCCCGGAAUCAUUCCGAAGAGCGUUUGCAGAAUUACAGUAUAUUUUUAAGAAUACACCACCAGAGCACACACACCCCAUAUUUAUAUAUAUAUAUAUAUAUAUAUAUAUAUAUAUAUAUAUAUAUUAUUUUUAAAAAAGCAAAACAAACACCAUGCAAAUCAAAAACAACAGCAUUUAAAAUUCAGCCACAUACGAAGCAGAUGGUGGGCUAUCUUAACAUACACAGCAUUUAUCAAUACACCAUUACAGGGAAGGAACCGCCAUUAUUAACAUUUUAACGAGAGGCACAACAGAAAGGUGGGAAGGGGGGUGGGAAUUAAAGCGCAGGGUGUCUCAAUUCCCCUUUGGAAUCCUACACAAUAAACAGAACACAUAAAAGUUUUUGGGGGGGAGGGAGUGUUGCACGCUAGAGUCCUGGUUCCAUUGACAUACCUACAUGUAACAAAUCUUAAUAUUCUUUCCCCCCCAAACAUAUGCAUAAAUACUCUGGAGGAAGCAUGGUCCCUACAGUUGGCCAUUCUGGAGAGAGGGGAGGGUCUGUAUCUGCCAGCCAAUGCCCUUUUAAUAUUGCACUGCUAAUCAUAACUGCCAGUAGUACAACAGAAGAAGGGCUUCGGACAGCAAGAGUUCCCACUAGGCACAAGGGACUUCUCGGAGGGAGGCGUGUGUGUUUUUUUUCCAGGUGAGAUUUUCCUUUAAAACAGAUCCAUGGCAAAAAGGAAACAGCAAACAACACACACACACAUACACACAAUAUCAACCACAUGGAUACAGUGGGGAAAUCUUCUUCAUCAUGUUUGCAAGACUUCAAAAUAAUAAUAAUAAUAAAUCAGCAAUUCUUCCAGAAUAUAAAUCAGGGACAUCUUUGCUGCUUUUUAAAAAAAUAAUAAUAAUGAAAAACUACUUAAGCAGCAUUAUGCUGGAUAAAAGGGAUAGGAGGAAUAAAAAUAAGGAUGAUGAGCUUUCCCCAUCAAACAUUCUCCAGAUAGCAAUAUAAAGCAAAUGCAAGAGGCUGGUGUGCCAUUAAGUAAAAGACGCUAUUAGACUAGGAACUUUUAACGGUGGUUAUUUGGAUCAAUAAUGUUUCCUGACUAUCAAAUUCAUCUGUUCAGGCUCUAGAUCAUUUACUAAGAAGAAGCCUCACUGAUCUAAACAGAAUUUACUUCCAAGCAGAAAUGUACAGGAAGGGGCUAAGGUUUUCUUCUCCAAAUAGAUGUUCUAAAUAUAACAUUUAUAAAAGGACUUAUUAUUGUAAGCAGUUGGGGGUUUUUUUGUUAACCAUAUAAGGCUGUAGUCCUAUACUGCACACGCUUACCUGAGAGUGAGCCCUAGUGAAAACAAUGGGACUUACUUUUGAGUAGACACCAUAUGCAAGAUUCUAUACACCACAAACAUAUAUUGCAAACAGACACAUUGUACUAACACAUCUAUUUUUCUGUUGAAAUACUUAAUGGUAAUGAAAACAGCUAUUGGCAACUGCAUAUCCGAAGUUCAAUACAGUAGGUAUAUAUAUUUACAAAUAUGAACCUAAUUCUCAUCUAAACCAUUUCAUACUGGGAUAGGGGGGUGGGAUACAGCCUAAAGCAACCUUUUAGAAAGUUUAAUCAGUCCCAAAAUGACCAAGUGACUCUCUCUCCUCGCACACAAAAGUUAAACAAUUUAAAUAAAAACCCAUGGAGCCAACCUUAUACUUCAUUCAUAGCCUUGUGCAGAAAAUUCCAUCCAGAUCAAGACAUUUGCAAGGGGCUUGAAUAGACUCAUUCAAGGUGGCUAUUGGAAAGGGUAAUUUUGUUUUGUUUUGGGGGGUUUUUCCGUUUUGUCCCAGCUAGUAAAAAGCGGUCCCAAACUUUUUAAUAGUUUGCUUUCUAAAUUGCCAGCACAAAGUUUUCACAGGGCAGAGGUGGGCAAAUUAGUCAGACAGCUGAAUUAAUCCCGGGUUCCUGGUUUCCUUAAGGGCAUUUCAUUUAUUUAUAUUGCCUCUUUGCUGCAGGAAGAGAUCCGCGCACUGGCAGGAAAAGUGGAAGCAGCAACUCUGUAGACUUUAGAGAGUUUUAAAGACAGACGGAGAGAGAGGUGGAAGGAGGAAUUAAAAAUUAGACAAGGAGGGAGUAAAGAUGCAUUUUCCACUCGAGGAAGAAGUUUUCGAAAUCCAACAGCCCUGGGACUGUGAUCGUGAAGGGGGCUUUCCUUACACAAUGCUGUAAGAAAAGAGAAGACCACACGCUGGAUAGGAGACCCUGUGCCGAACUGGGGCAAAGUGCAAGAACUACCGUCGAAAAACACCCGCGCGCACCGCUCGGACUGUCGAUCCUCAAAAAUCUCGGCGCUCGCCGAAGCGGCGCGUUAGGAUUUUUCUCUUCUACGGGAUUUAAAUGCGCAACCUGC